UACGUAGGGGGCAAGCGUUGUCCGGAAUCAUUGGGCGUAAAGAGCGUGUAGGCGGCUCGGUAAGUCCGCUGUGAAAGUCCAGGGCUCAACCCUGGAAUGCCGGUGGAACCUGUCGAGCUAGAGUCCGGAAGAGGCGAGUGGAAUUCCUGGUGUAGCGGUGAAAUGCGCAGAUAUCAGGAGGAACACCAAUGGCGAAGGCAGCUCGCUGGGACGGUACUGACGCUGAGACGCGAAAGCGUGGGGAGCAAACAGG
rnacentral:rRNA from 1 species